AGCAUGUUAUGCGGGGAGGGGCCUCCAGCUGAUGCAAAUCAAUAUCAAUCAUCUAUCAAUCUAUCUAUGUGUCUAUCAUCCAUCUAUCAAUCACCCAUCUUUCAAUCAAAGAGCCCCUUGGACCGCACUAACGACUCAAAACCAUGAUGGACAUGGACCAAACUUGGCACAAAUACUCCAUAUGCCCAAACGUAAACACUGGUGGAGUUUGGGGAAAAUAGACCUGGACAUUUGGGAGUUGUAGUUGCUGAGAUGUAUGUGUUGUUUAAAUGGGAAUGUCUAUCAUCCAUCUAUCAGACAACACAUACAUCUGAUUGAACCCUCACACCCCUCCUUGGGUUUACUGGAAAGAUGGGUGGUUGAUAGAGGGAUGAUAGAUUACAUAGAUAGAUAGAUAGAUAGAUAGAUAGAUAGAUAGAUAGAUAGAUAGAUAGAUAGAUAGAUGAUUGAUAUAGAUAGAUGAUAGAUUAGAUGGAUAGAUGAUUGAUAGAUGGAUGAUAGAUUACAUAGAUAGAUAGAUAUAGAUAAUUGAUAUAGAUUAGAUAGAUGAUAGAUUACAUAGAUAAUAGAUUAGAUAGAUGAUUGAUAGAUGGAUGAUAGAUCCUAGAUAGAUGAUAAAUAGAUAGGUGAUUGAGAUAUUAGAUAGAUAUAAGAUAGAUAAUAGAUUACAUAGAUUGAUAUAAAUAUAUGAUAGAUUACAUAGAUGAUAAAUAGAUGAUAGAUUAGAUAGAUGGUUGAUAUAGAUGAUUGAUUGAUUGAUGGAUGCUAGAUCAUCAUCUAUAUCAAUCAUAUAUCUAUCUAAUCUAUUCUCUAUUUAUCAUCUAUAUCAAUCAUCUAUCUAUGUAAACAGAUGAUAGAUUAGAUAGAUGAUUGAUAUAGAUAGAUGAUCGAUUGGCUAGAUGAUUGAUGGAUGGAUGGAUGGAUGAUUGAUUACACAGAUGGGUGAUUGAGAUAUUAGGUAGAUAUAAAAUAGAUAA